AAAGGCAUCCGUGCAACAGGUGUCCGCAUGCCAGCCAUGGGGAUGAAACGGGAACAAGGUGACUGCCAGCAAAUGCUUUUUGCGCUGCCGGCACAGGCCUUGGCUGCCCCCGCAACGGUAAACAAGUCAAGGCGCUCCAUGCCUGUCCCGCCAGUCUCCGCAACCCUGCGGAGGGGCGAUGACAGGCUGUCACUGGUUCAUGGCGUGGUCUGCAACAUGCAGCUUUUCGCGGGUGGAUUGGGAAGACGGGGCGCUGGGCGCAAGGCAUGUCCUUGCGCCGCUUGUGAGCCCGGAGACCGGCCUGCUGCGUUUCGCGCCU
rnacentral:ncRNA from 2 species